AAGAAAGUAGGAAUUUUAUUUUUGCACAGCGCUGAGCAAGGAGAGAGGGCAGCUAACGCUCAAAUCCCAAACUCCCCGAAAAGCUAAAAGGAAGGGUUUUUAUUUGGGGUUUUAGGGAGGGGAGGGGGAGCGUAUGGCCUUGCUGGUCGGAGCUUUCCCACCAGCCUGUCUUUGGUCUUGAGACUACUUGCAGAGAGAGGGAACUCAUGACCUUGCUGGUCAGCAGCUUUCCCACCAGCCCAUAUCUCUUUGCGGGAGGAGAUAGUCCAGGUGCUUGUCCUUGAUGGUGUCUGUCUCCAUGGAGGAUAGUGGAUUCUGGAGCCAGGAAGCCAGAGAUUUUCAUACAGGCUCGGGGUUUUAAAACUUUGAAAUCAAGGACGUCUGCAGUCUACCUCUGAAAGAUUAGCAGAAACACAGCAUAUAGCACCAUCAUUCGUGAAGAUUCUCUAAGAUGAACCCAUCUGAUUCUCUUUGUUCUGCUGCUAUUUGGCAUUUACGGACUCUUAAAAAACCCAUUUUUAUCUGUUCGCUUCCGGACAACAACAGGGCUUGAUUCUGCAGUUGAUCCUGUCCAGAUGAAAAAUGUCACCUUUGAACAUGUUAAAGGAAUUGUCUUGUAACUUAAAGACGUGUCGCUAUUGAACGUGUUCGAGCAGAGGCUGGACAUCGUCUUUGAGGAAGGUUUUGGGAGAAAUUCUUCCUGCAGGAGGGGCUUGAAAGCCAUGACUUUGAGGACUCUUCCAACUCUGAAGAGGCUGGUUAGUUGAAGUAGCUGUGAACCCUGCUGGGAUUGUGAAAAGGGAGCAGUAGAGGAAGAGGCUGGUGCAGUGACUAUUUGAAAGCUAGACACAUCAGUGCGGAGGGCCCUUCUCGUUCUGUCUGAGGGCUGCAGUCAGAGAGCCUGCUUACGUUGAGCUUGCACUAAGGCCGUGGUCAGCGAGGCGUCCUUACUCUCUCCCUGCGGUGUAUGUACUUCAUUACUCAGUACACCACAUUUCUUUUCGGAUGAGGCCAUUUGGAGUGCAAAAUUAGAGAAGAUGUGUUGACACCCAAACGUUAGGAAACGGGGACAUCACAAGGUGGAUCCUCACACAGUUUCCCGUGAUAAUAUGAAUAAAUGUUAUAAUUGCUGUAAAAUCUAAGUUUAUGUGGAGCAAAGUAUUUCAGUAGCAUUUACCAUAAUAGUAUGCCGUCUUUCACCAGGUCUUAAAGAGCUUGUGUAAGAAUGUUAUUUCCUUGCCCAGAAUUCCUGAACAUGUAGGGUUACUUGUAUAUGGAGCCACUGUGGAAACAUUCAUAAGGGCGUUGAUAACUUCACUCACUGCCUUGAUCCUCGUAACCCUACUCUCCUCCAUAGGUUUUAUAUUCCUUAACUGGGAAUUCUCUUGCCACAGAGGUUGGGAAGAGAAAAUGUAUUUUGAAUGGUCGAUGAUGUUUAAUUUCUUUCCUGUUUUCGUCCAAUUUUAAGUUAUCCAUUACCUUGACCAAAUGUAUGUUGGUUUUCUUUUAGUGUAUGGAUCUCUUCAAAUAUUAAAAAAAUUUUUUUGAUAAUCUGUUCAACUCUUUUUUUACACAUAAAUUUUACUGAAGCUUAACAGUCACACAAAAAUGCACACAUCGUAAAUGUACACCUCAAUAAAUUUUCGCACACGGCUUUGAACACAUCUAUGUUGUCAGCACCCAGCUCAGGAAACAGAACGCCAGGGCCUGCCUAGUGCCUCUUUCCAGUCACCAUCUCUCCCCACCCCAAGGGUGAGCACUGUCCUGUCUAAUACCGUAGGUUAGUUUGGGCGGUUUUUGAAUUUUAUAUAAAUGUGACGCAUGUAGUAUGUACGAUUUCUUUCGUCAACGUAUUUGUGAGAUCCAUCCGUGUUGUUACAUGGAGCGGUAGUUCAUUCAUCCUCAUUGCAUAGUGUUCUAUUCCACGAACACCACGAUACUGUGUGUUUAUUCCACAUUAGGUAGACAUGUGGUUGUGUCUAGUUUUAGCUAAAAUGGUCCUGCUGUGAAUGUUGUUGUACAGAUCUCUUGGUGAGCGUAUGAACACACUUCUCUUGUGCCUGGGAGUGGACAAAGCUUUGCUUUUAACCAUUAACUUUAUAAACAUUUUUAGUAAAUUUUAAUAAUUUAAUCAGAAUAACUUUAAAGACCAUUUCAAGACUAAAAAAACACCUACUUACUCUGUAUCACUUGUAUAUUUCCUGGAAAUAGUCCUGGGAAAUUUUCUAGAAAUCUAAGAUAGUCACGAGUUUAAUUUUAGAUUAUCAGAAUGCCCUUUGGCCCAGAGAUCUGUUUCAUGUUUUACUACACUCCUUCCCAGGUAGUUUUUUUAACCCUGCCCGAUGUACUUCAGGUCAUUUUUGUCACUUAGAGCUAUUUAAAGUUGUCUAUUGUGAGGUUGCACAUUGACUGCCAGUGAGCUAAGUGGAUUAACAAAUGUAUUAUUGGCCUAAUGUAACUUAA
ensembl:lncRNA